rnacentral:rRNA from 1 species
AACUUGCGGAAGGAUCAUA